rnacentral:misc_RNA from 1 species
AUGAGCUUGGUCUGGCAACACGUCUCCCUCGUCCUAGCGAUCUUGUUAAGUAUGCUGAGAGCUGUAUGUACACUCCACUCUACCGCAGCUAUCGUUAAACUGGGAAUUUUGGCUGACAUUUAACUAAUCCCAUUUCCGGCUACAUUGGGAGGUUUGAGUUUUAGGCUCAUUCAUAGUUCUAGAUGAAAUAUUUUGUAUGUCAAUGCCUAGUAGAGUCA